AACGCUGGCGGUAGGCCUAACACAUGCAAGUCGAACGGCAGCACAGUAAGAGCUUGCUCUUACGGGUGGCGAGUGGCGGACGGGUGAGGAAUGCAUCGGAAUCUACUCUGUCGUGGGGGAUAACGUAGGGAAACUUACGCUAAUACCGCAUACGACCUACGGGUGAAAGCAGGGGAUCUUCGGACCUUGCGCGAUUGAAUGAGCCGAUGCCCGAUUAGCUAGUUGGCGGGGUAAGAGCCCACCAAGGCGACGAUCGGUAGCUGGUCUGAGAGGAUGAUCAGCCACACUGGAACUGAGACACGGUCCAGACUCCUACGGGAGGCAGCAGUGGGGAAUAUUGGACAAUGGGCGCAAGCCUGAUCCAGCCAUACCGCGUGGGUGAAGAAGGCCUUCGGGUUGUAAAGCCCUUUUGUUGGGAAAGAAAAGCAGUCGGUUAAUACCCGAUUGUUCUGACGGUACCCAAAGAAUAAGCACCGGCUAACUUCGUGCCAGCAGCCGCGGUAAUACNAAGGGUGCAAGCGUUACUCGGAAUUACUGGGCGUAAAGCGUGCGUAGGUGGUUGUUUAAGUCUGUCGUGAAAGCCCUGGGCUCA
rnacentral:rRNA from 1 species